UGGAGGUGGUUGGCUGAGAGGAGGAAGAGAGAACGGGAAAGAAGGGAGCACCCUAAGGGUUCAGGGCCUGGGCUGGGGCCAUCUGUGGGGUUGGAGGAGGCCAGGGCUUCUACCCUCAGCUUUUGGAGUCAUGGGAUUAAACACCUGUACUCACAGCAUGAUCUCAGUGGGUCACCACGGUGCUUUGAGCCUGUUUUCAUCUGUCAGAAAGAAGUUCUUCCUGGGAAGCCUGGCUGGCUCAGCAGUUGAGCGGCUGCCUUCGGCUCAGGGUGUGAUCGCGGGGUUCAAGGAUCAAGUCCCACAUUGGGAUCCCUGCAUGGAGUCUGCUUCUCCCUCGG